CUUUGUAAAGGUGGAGAAGGAAGCAGCAGCAGCACUAGAGCUUCAGGUGCUCCUGCAGAACUGGAGAUGGUGGUCAGUUCAGAGUCAGACUCAGAGCAGGAACCUUCAGG